CCAGGCACUUCUGUCUUCCACUGCCUCCCGCAGUUUGGUCAAACUCAUGCUGGUAGCUUUGAGAACACUAUCCAACCAUCUCAUCCUCUGUCGUCCCCUUCUCCUUGUGCCCUCCAUCUUUCCCAACAUCAGGGUCUUUUCCAGGGAGUCUUCUCUUCUCAUGAGGUGGCCAAAGUAUUGGAGCCUCAGCUUCAGGAUCUGUCCUUCCAGUGAGC